UAGGGAAUAUUGGUCAAUGGAUGCAAGUCUGAACCAGCCAUGCCGCGUGCAGGAAGAAGGCCUUCUGGGUUGUAAACUGCUUUUAUCUGGGGAUAAAAAGGGGGUGCGCCCCCAACUGAAGGUACCAGAUGAAUAAGCCACGGCUAACUACGUGCCAGCAGCCGCGGUAAUACGUAGGUGGCAAGCGUUGUCCGGAUUUAUUGGGUUUAAAGGGUGCGUAGGCGGUCUAUUAAGUCAGUGCUGAAAUAUCCCGGCUUAACCGGGAGGGUGGCAUUGAUACUGAUGGACUUGAGUGCAGUCGAGGUAGGCGGAAUUGACGGUGUAGCGGUGAAAUGCUUAGAUAUCGUCAAGAACACCGAUAGUGAAGACAGCUUACUAGACUGUAACUGACGCUGAGGCACGAAAGUGUGGGGAUCAAA
rnacentral:rRNA from 1 species